rnacentral:pre_miRNA from 2 species
UCUUAUGGAGGAGUAAAGAAAGUGGUUUCUUGAGAUAGGAUCUACUUAGGGUGAAGAUGCUGUGAA